UCUGCAACUCGACUCCAUGAAGCUGGAUUCGCUAGUAAUCGCGCAUCAGCCAUGGCGCGGUGAAUACGUUCCCGGGCCUUGUACACACCGCCCGUCAAGCCAUGGAAGCCGGGGGUGCCUGAAGUGCGUGACCGCAAGGAGCGCCCUAAGGUAAAACCGGUGACUGGGGCUAAGUCGUAACAAGGUAAC
rnacentral:rRNA from 1 species